rnacentral:rRNA from 1 species
UGGCUCAUUAAAUCAGUUAUCGUUUAUUUGAUAGUACCUUACUACUUGGAUAACCGUGGUAAUUCUAGAGCUAAUACAUGCUAAAAACCUCGACUUCGGAAGGGGUGUAUUUAUUAGAUAAAAAACCAAUGCCCUUCGGGGCUCCUUGGUGAUUCAUAAUAACUUAACGAAUCGCAUGGCCUUGUGCCGGCGAUGGUUCAUUCAAAUUUCUGCCCUAUCAACUUUCGAUGGUAGGAUAGUGGCCUACCAUGGUUUCAACGGGUAACGGGGAAUUAGGGUUCUAUUCCGGAGAGGGAGCCUGAGAAACGGCUACCACAUCCAAGGAAGGCAGCAGGCGCGCAAAUUACCCAAUCCCGACACGGGGAGGUAGUGACAAUAAAUACUGAUACAGGGCUCUUUUGGGUCUUGUAAUUGGAAUGAGUACAAUUUAAAUCCCUUAACGAGGAACAAUUGGAGGGCAAGUCUGGUGCCAGCAGCCGCGGUAAUUCCAGCUCCAAUAGCGUAUAUUAAAGUUGUUGCAGUUAAAAAGCUCGUAGUUGAACCUUGGGCCUGGCUGGCCGGUCCGCCUCACCGCGUGCACUGGUCCGGCCGGGUCUUUCCUUCUGGGGAGCCGCAUGCCCUUCACUGGGUGUGUCGGGGAACCAGGACUUUUACUUUGAAAAAAUUAGAGUGUUCAAAGCAGGCCUAUGCUCGAAUACAUUAGCAUGGAAUAAUAGAAUAGGACGUGUGGUUCUAUUUUGUUGGUUUCUAGGACCGCCGUAAUGAUUAAUAGGGAUAGUCGGGGGCAUCAGUAUUCAAUUGUCAGAGGUGAAAUUCUUGGAUUUAUUGAAGACUAACUACUGCGAAAGCAUUUGCCAAGGAUGUUUUCAUUAAUCAGUGAACGAAAGUUAGGGGAUCGAAGACGAUCAGAUACCGUCGUAGUCUUAACCAUAAACUAUGCCGACUAGGGAUCGGGCGAUGUUAUCUUUUUGACUCG